rnacentral:rRNA from 1 species
UACGUAGGUGGCAAGCGUUGUCCGGAUUUACUGGGCGUAAAGAGCGCGCAGGCGGUCGUUCAAGUCGCGUGUGAAAGCCCCCGGCUCAACUGGGGAGGGUCACGCGAUACUGAUCGACUCGAAGGCAGGAGAGGGAAGCGGAAUUCCCGGUGUAGUGGUGGAAUGCGUAGAGAUCGGGAAGAACACCGGUGGCGAAGGCGGCCUGCUGGGCAGUGGCUGACACUGAGGCGCGACAGCGUGGGGAGCAAACAGG